AAUAUCUUUGGAAAUUGAAAAUAACUAUGUGGUUAUAUCUAGUGUUGUGUUCCUUUGGCUGACUGUUCUUGUGCAAUGUCAGCACCCUAAGGUGAGAGGCAAUGUCAGGUGCUCUGGCCCCAGGAAUACACUUAACAUCAGUUGGUC